rnacentral:lncRNA from 1 species
GCUUAUGAGUUACCUGUUUAUUUGAGAAAACUGACAUAGAGGUCGUGCUCUUAUAAUGAGAUUGUCAGUUUCAAACAACUGACAUUGAGGGACGACUUUACCAGUUUCAAACAACUGAUAAUGAGAUUGCUACCCGAGACUUCAUAGCUACAGUCCACCAUCCCUCUGACCUAGUACGACCCUCUCCAUCAUGCUCCUUCCUAGAGUUCCCCACAUCAGUCCAACCUACACUAGUCCAG